UACAGAGGUCUCAAGCGUUGUUCGGAUUCAUUGGGCGUAAAGGGUGCGUAGGCGGCGGGGCAAGUCUGAUGUGAAAUCCCGGGGCUCAACCCCGGAACUGCAUUGGAUACUGCCUUGCUAGAGUACUGGAGAGGAGACUGGAAUUUACGGUGUAGCAGUGAAAUGCGUAGAUAUCGUAAGGAAGGCCAGUGGCGAAGGCGAGUCUCUGGACAGUUACUGACGCUGAGGCACGAAAGCGUGGGGAGCAAACAGG
rnacentral:rRNA from 1 species